UUAGUUCCAGUUUAUUUCGUGUAUUUCUAUGACCAGUGGAAAUCUGAGGCCCUGCCUAUAUCCCUAUUAAUAGGUGAAGGAGCUUUAACAAAAGGGGAAUUUGGAGAUGCACCUACCUUGCAGAACCUCUGCAUCGGGUGCUCCCUCUUCUGCACUCAGUGGGUGUGGCAUGUUAGUCAAAUCAGGACGAGACUAAUUUAAUGCUUUGUAUGAUAGCAACAGCAUAACCACUUAAAAACAUUUGUCUGCUCAUUUUCAAAUAUCUAGUGAUUAUCAAUGACUAGCUCUAAGACUCCUCUCUUCCUAUUAAUUCCUGACUAUUUUCUGUUUCUCUAUGACCAUAAGAAAUCCGAGCAUCCUCCUGCCUAUAUCCCUAUCCUCAGGUGAAGACUAGAAGACAAAUCAAGCGACCUGCACGAGCUUUAACUCAGGGCAAAUUAAGAGAUGCACACGUACCGUGUGGAACCUCCCGUAAUGGGCUCUCCCUCUUCUGCAUUCAGAGGGCGUGGCAUGUUGGUUAAAGCAGGAAGAGACCGACUGGGCAGAUCCAUCAAAGGCAAUGGAAGAGAGGCUGAUGAACCUGCAGCAUAGUUAUUAUACUUUGAAUUAAAGCUUUACUUACAUGAUAGCAAUACACAUAGACACCUCUCUCUCUCUCUCUCUCUCUCUCUCUCUCUCUCUCUCUCUAGUUAUUCAAUUUGGUUGAUUUCUUUCGACGUCAACCAAUUCUAAAAAUGGACGGUAAACAAUCUAGUUUGCACGCAUCAAGAAUGCCUCAACCAAUGGCUUCCAAAGCUAGUUAGAGUUGAAAUUUGCCAUGUGGUUCAGACAAAGGAUCUAGAACGCCUCUGACCAAGCACUUGACUGAUGCUAAUUAUGUAAACUUAUCGUCGACAAACUUUGCUCACCGGAAACAUUAACCAUCUCAGGUGAUAGAGAACGCCUUCCACAAAAAAGCUCCAGAAACAAAGACCAGACACGAUCAUUGCUUAUUUUCUGUUCCAUAUUGGCCGAUUAAACGAUUGAAGCGUUUUAAGUUUCUCAAAGAUAUAGAAGAUCUGGCAAUUUCAAGUAGAUUGCACGCUUAAAAUCCUACAAUAGAGCGUCACGAGUUGCCACAGAGUAUUCGGACAGGCCACUGCAUUGCAUAACGUGGGUAAAAGAUGAACGUACCAGGAGGAGGACUGGAGCUUCGGUCCAGUUGCUAAUCUCUGGUGUCGAUUUGGUUCUUCAGCCCCUGAUCACACCAAAAUAUUCAUGGCCGGGGUUCAACUCGAUCUCCCUCUUGAUCUCGAUAACAUUCCCAUGGAAAUUUGAAGCGGUGUGAUCCGGCGAGAGAUGAGAGAAGAAAAUAGGAAAGACGAGAGAUGAAUCCACCCAAAAGUAAAGAAAACCCUAGAAACC
rnacentral:lncRNA from 1 species